CACAAUCAUAGGAGGCAAUGUAAUAAUAGACAAAUCUAGAUUAAUAUUCCAACUUGGCUACCUACCAGGUGAGCGAUGUUGGGCACUAAAGAUUCUUAAAUAUUUUGAGCCUCAGAUUCCAUUUCAAAGUGGUGAUUAAGACUGAAUUAAAUAACAUAUGCAAAGUACACAGCCCAUUGUUCAGAACACAGCAAGUAUUCAACAAAUACUGGCUCUGGUUCUCCAUAUGUCAUGUUGAAACAUUUAAAGCAAGUACUAAUAUUUAUAGAAUAUAUAUGUGUGUGUGUGUGGCUGUUGUAGAACGAAUGGCAAGGAGAUAAAAGGUCCACAAUCCUUAUAGGGUUAUAAGGACCCCUCGGGACAGUUCUUUUUCAGAAUUCAGAAUUUUUCAGAUUUUAGAAAGGUAAUAUACUGUGUAUUUGGUAAAACCCAAAUAUGGUGCAAUUUACAAUAUACUCUCAAGUCAACAUUAUUAAAUAACACUAUUCAAAUCCUCA
ensembl:lncRNA novel transcript, antisense to GNB4